rnacentral:rRNA from 1 species
GAUGAACGCUGGCGGCGUGCCUAAUACAUGCAAGUCGAGCGAACGGACGAGAAGCUUGCUUUUCUGAUGUUAGCGGCGGACGGGUGAGUAACACGUGGAUAACCUACCUAUAAGACUGGGAUAACUUCGGGAAACCGGAUCUAAUACCGGAUAAUAUUUUGAACCGCAUGGUUCAAAAGUGAAAGACGGUCUUGCUGUCACUUAUAGAUGGAUCCGCGCUGCAUUAGCUAGUUGGUAAGGUAACGGCUUACCAAGGCUACGAUGCAUAGCCGACCUGAGAGGGUGAUCGGCCACACGGGAACUGAGACAGGGUCCAGACUCCUACGGGAGGAAGCAGUAGGGAAUCUUCCGCAAUGGGCGAAAGCCUGACGGAGCAACGCCGCGUGAGUGAUGAAGGUCUUCGGAUCGUAAAACGCUGUUAUUAGGGAAGAACAUAUGUGUAAGUAACUGUGCACAUCUUGACGGUACCUAAUCAGAAAGCCACGGCUAACUACGUG